rnacentral:rRNA from 1 species
GACGAACGCUGGCGGCGUGCUUAACACAUGCAAGUCGAACGGAAAGGCCCUGCUUUUGUGGGGUGCUCGAGUGGCGAACGGGUGAGUAACACGUGAGUAACCUGCCCUUGACUUUGGGAUAACUUCAGGAAACUGGGGCUAAUACCGGAUAGGAGCUCCUGCUGCAUGGUGGGGGAUGGAAAGUUUCGGCGGUUGGGGCUGGACUCGCGGCUUAUCAGCUUGUUGGUGGGGUAGUGGCUUACCAAGGCUUUGACGGGUAGCCGGCCUGAGAGGGUGACCGGCCACAUUGGGACUGAGAUAGGGCCCAGACUCCUACGGGAGGCAGCAGGGGAGAAUAUUGCACAAUGGGCGGAAGCCUGAGGCAACAACGCCGCGUGCGGGAUGACGUCCUUCGGGGUGUAAACCGCUUUCGCCUGUGACGAAGCGUGAGUGACGGUAAUGGGUAAAGAAGCACCGGCUAACUACGUG